GACGAACGCUGGCGGCGUGCUUAACACAUGCAAGUCGAACGGAAAGGCCCUGCUUUUGUGGGGUGCUCGAGUGGCGAACGGGUGAGUAACACGUGAGUAACCUGCCCUUGACUUUGGGAUAACUUCAGGAAACUGGGGCUAAUACCGGAUAGGAGCUCCUGCUGCAUGGUGGGGGUUGGAAAGUUUCGGCGGUUGGGGAUGGACUCGCGGCUUAUCAGCUUGUUGGUGGGGUAGUGGCUUACCAAGGCUUUGACGGGUAGCCGGCCUGAGAGGGUGACCGGCCACAUUGGGACUGAGAUACGGCCCAGACUCCUACGGGAGGCAGCAGUGGGGAAUAGUGCACAAGGGGCGGAAGGCUGAUGCAGCAACGCCGCGUGCGGGAUGACGGCCUUCGGGUUGUAAACCGCUUUCGCCUGUGACGAAGCGUGAGUGACGGUAAUGGGUAAAGAAGCACCGGCUAACUACGUG
rnacentral:rRNA from 1 species